rnacentral:rRNA from 1 species
GGAAGACUACCAGGUUGAUAGGUCGGAGGUGUAAGCACGGUAACGUGUUCAGCUGACCGAUACUAAUAGGUCGAGGGCUUGAUCAA